rnacentral:rRNA from 1 species
ACUAUGGAGAGUUUGAUCCUGGCUCAGGAUGAACGCUAGCGGGAGGCCUAAUACAUGCAAGUCGAGCGGCAAUUUGGUUUUCGGAUCAAAUGAGAGCGGCGCACGGGUGAGUAACGCGUACGAAAUCUACCGAUAGUUGGGGGAUAGCCUUGGGAAACUGGGAGUAAUCCGCCAUACCUUUAUUUGACGGCAUCGUUGAAUAAAGAAAGCUGAGGCGACUAUUGAUGAUCGUGCGUCUGAUUAGGUAGUUGGUAGGGUAACGGCCUACCAAGCCGACGAUCAGUAGGGGGCGUGAGAGCGUGGCCCCCCACACGGGUACUGAGACACGGACCCGACUCCUACGGGAGGCAGCAGUAAGGAAUAUUGGUCAAUGGGCGGAAGCCUGAACCAGCCAUCCCGCGUGCAGGAUGACUGCCCUAUGGGUUGUAAACUGCUUUUAUCUGGGAAUAAACCACUCUAUUUAUGGGGUGUUGAAGGUACCAGAAGAAUAAGCACCGGCUAACUCCGUGCCAGCAGCCGCGGUAAUACGGAGGGUGCAAGCGUUAUCCGGAAUCACUGGGUUUAAAGGGUGCGU